GGGGCAGAAUCUGGGAGGAGGCAGGUUGAGAUUAAUUUUGAUCCGGAUGGGAGGAUUAACAGAUUGGCUGAUGAAGUGGAUAAGCAGGCUGGGUUGUCUAGGCUGACUUUGUUCUCACCUUGUAAGAUUAAUGUAUUCUUGAGGAUCACCAGCAAGAGAGAAGAUGGUUACCAUGAUUUGGCAUCUCUGUUUCAUGUAAUAAGUCUCGGAGAUACAAUUAAGUUUUCCCUAUCACCAACAAAAACUAAAGACCGCUUGUCGACUAAUGUGCCCG
rnacentral:misc_RNA from 1 species